rnacentral:SRP_RNA from 1 species
ACCAGUUACAGUUGCACUUACCUUUAAUCCCAGUUAUCUGGCAGGCUGUAGUUCAGGAGUUCUGUGCUGUAGCCCGGUAUGCAGAUAGGGUGUCUGCACUAAGUUUGACAUCAAUGUGGUGACCUCCUGGGAGCAGAGGACCACAAGGUUGCCUAAGGAUAGGUGAACCUGCCCAGGUCAGAAAUGGAGUAGGUCAAAAUUCCUGUGCUGUCAGUAAUGGGAUUGAGCCUGUGAAUAGCCACUGCACUGCAGCCUGGACAUGCAU